UGGGGAAUUUUGGACAAUGGGCGAAAGCCUGAUCCAGCAAUGCCGCGUGUGUGAAGAGGGCCUUCGGGUUGUAAAGCACUUUUGUCCGGAAAGAAAUCCUUGGCUCUAAUACAGUCGGGGGAUGACGGUACCGGAAGAAUAAGCACCGGCUAACUACGUGCCAGCAGCCGCGGUAAUACGUAGGGUGCAAGCGUUAAUCGGAAUUACUGGGCGUAAAGCGUGCGCAGGCGGUUUGCUAAGACCGAUGUGAAAUCCCCGGGCUCAACCUGGGAACUGCAUUGGUGACUGGCAGGCUAGAGUAUGGCAGAGGGGGGUAGAAUUCCACGUGUAGCAGUGAAAUGCGUAGAGAUGUGGAGGAAUACCGAUGGCGAAGGCAGCCCCCUGGGCCAAUACUGACGCUCAUGCACGAAAGCGUGGGGAGCAAACAGGAUUAGAUACCCUGGUAGUCCACGCCCUAAAACGAUGUCAACUAGUUGUUGGGGAUUCAUUUCCUUAGUAACGUA
rnacentral:rRNA from 1 species